UUGAAGAGUUUGAUCAUGGCUCAGAUUGAACGCUGGCGGCAGGCCUAACACAUGCAAGUCGAACGGUAACAGGAAACAGCUUGCUGUUUCGCUGACGAGUGGCGGACGGGUGAGUAAUGUCUGGGAAACUGCCCGAUGGAGGGGGAUAACUACUGGAAACGGUAGCUAAUACCGCAUAACGUCGCAAGACCAAAGAGGGGGACCUUCGGGCCUCUUGCCAUCGGAUGUGCCCAGAUGGGAUUAGCUAGUAGGUGGGGUAACGGCUCACCUAGGCGACGAUCCCUAGCUGGUCUGAGAGGAUGACCAGCCACACUGGAACUGAGACACGGUCCAGACUCCUACGGGAGGCAGCAGUGGGGAAUAUUGCACAAUGGGCGCAAGCCUGAUGCAGCCAUGCCGCGUGUAUGAAGAAGGCCUUCGGGUUGUAAAGUACUUUCAGCGGGGAGGAAGGGAGUAAAGUUAAUACCUUUGCUCAUUGACGUUACCCGCAGAAGAAGCACCGGCUAACUCCGUGCCAGCAGCCGCGGUAAUACGGAGGGUGCAAGCGUUAAUCGGAAUUACUGGGCGUAAAGCGCACGCAGGCGGUUUGUUAAGUCAGAUGUGAAAUCCCCGGGCUCAACCUGGGAACUGCAUCUGAUACUGGCAAGCUUGAGUCUCGUAGAGGGGGUAGAAUUCCAGGUGUAGCGGUGAAAUGCGUAGAGAUCUGGAGGAAUACCGGUGGCGAAGGCGGCCCCCUGGACGAAGACUGACGCUCAGGUGCGAAAGCGUGGGGAGCAAACAGGAUUAGAUACCCUGGUAGUCCACGCCGUAAACGAUGUCGACUUGGAGGUUGUGCCCUUGAGGCGUGGCUUCCGGAGCUAACGCGUUAAGUCGACCGCCUGGGGAGUACGGCCGCAAGGUUAAAACUCAAAUGAAUUGACGGGGGCCCGCACAAGCGGUGGAGCAUGUGGUUUAAUUCGAUGCAACGCGAAGAACCUUACCUGGUCUUGACAUCCACGGAAGUUUUCAGAGAUGAGAAUGUGCCUUCGGGAACCGUGAGACAGGUGCUGCAUGGCUGUCGUCAGCUCGUGUUGUGAAAUGUUGGGUUAAGUCCCGCAACGAGCGCAACCCUUAUCCUUUGUUGCCAGCGGUCCGGCCGGGAACUCAAAGGAGACUGCCAGUGAUAAACUGGAGGAAGGUGGGGAUGACGUCAAGUCAUCAUGGCCCUUACGACCAGGGCUACACACGUGCUACAAUGGCGCAUACAAAGAGAAGCGACCUCGCGAGAGCAAGCGGACCUCAUAAAGUGCGUCGUAGUCCGGAUUGGAGUCUGCAACUCGACUCCAUGAAGUCGGAAUCGCUAGUAAUCGUGGAUCAGAAUGCCACGGUGAAUACGUUCCCGGGCCUUGUACACACCGCCCGUCACACCAUGGGAGUGGGUUGCAAAAGAAGUAGGUAGCUUAACCUUCGGGAGGGCGCUUACCACUUUGUGAUUCAUGACUGGGGUGAAGUCGUAACAAGGUAACCGUAGGGGAACCUGCGGUUGGAUCACCUCCUU
rnacentral:rRNA from 1 species